rnacentral:rRNA from 1 species
CAGCAGCCGCGGGAAUACAGAGGGUGCGAGCGUUAAUCGGAUUUACUGGGCGUAAAGCGUGCGUAGGCGGCUAAUUGAGUCGGAUGUGAAAUCCCCGAGCUUAACUUGGGAAUUGCAUUCGAUACUGGUUAGCUAGAGUGUGGGAGAGGAUGGUAGAAUUCCAGGUGUAGCGGUGAAAUGCGUAGAGAUCUGGAGGAAUACCGAUGGCGAAUGCAGCCAUCUGGCCUAACACUGACGCUGAGGUACGAAAGCAUGGGGAGCAAACAGGAUUAGAUACCCCGGUAGUCCCUGUCUCUUAUAC